rnacentral:lncRNA from 1 species
CCUCACUAAGGAAAAGAGGAAAGAAAGAAAGAACAAAACCCUAGUUAGAAAAUUCAAGAGAAAAUUUUGGAAUUUCAAGGAAUCAAGUGACGAAAGGUAAGAUUUUUCAAUUUUAGCUUGAGAUCUAUCUUUCUUAAGCAUUCUUUCUCAUUUUCCAUGGUUGAAAUUCAUGAUUUCAUGGUGGAUCCCUUGUUGGCCGAACCUAGGGGGAGAAGAUUUGAUGAUGAAUUUNCAUUUUCCAUGGUUGAAAUUCAUGAUUUCAUGGUGGAUCCCUUGUUGGCCGAACCUAGGGGGAGAAGAUUUGAUGAUGAAUUUAGUUGGAAAACAUGUUAUUCUAGUGUUUUUAGUUGGUUGGUGAUGUGUAGCAUGAAAAGCAAACAAGAAAAAUUCAUGUUCUUCCAUCACCCUCAUUGGCCGAAUCUUCCUUAUGGUAUGUUGAUGGUGGAUUUGAUUUUAUUUCAAGUGAUUUGGUUAGGAACUAAUGAUUUAUGGUAUAAAAAAAUCAAGUAUGAAAAACCAUAGUGUUUAUGUACCCACCAUGGCCGAAUUUCAUAAGGAACCUAGUGAUGAUGAUUCUUGUGAUAUCUUGUGUUAUUUAGUUAGAAUUUAAUGAAUGGUGGUGAUGGAAAUCGAAAAUGGUAAUUUUAAAGUAUAGUUCUUUGGUAAAUAAGUUGAAUAGCAAUGAGAAAGUCAAGCUCAUUGAGACGCUUUGGUGUAUUUUGGGACAUUGGAAGUGUGAUGAAUAUAAUUGGGGUCAAUUUGGAUGUUUUGGUUAAAUCAAAGGUGGAGAGUUCGAAUUAGGUCGAAAAUCGAUCCAUUCCGAUCACAAUUGAACCAACGUGUAACACCGUCUUUAAGUGACUAUCCGAACAACCUCAUGCAUUCAUAUAGAGCCUGAAAUAGAUUUAUAAUGACAUGACACAAUAUAUUGAAUUAUUUGUUGUGUAUUGUGUAUAGGUGGUGAGUCUUCUAACAAGGGUAAAGACAUUAUGCCAAAGGACCAAGAAUAGGAGUAUUUCGAACUCCCGAUAUCGUGAGUAACCUUAUUAUUGUCUUAAUUAUCUAAAGUAGUUUUUAUUCGCUUUUGUGAUUUUAUAGAAAAAUGAGUUUAAAUGGUAAAUCCUUAUGUUUUAUAGGUAAAAUGUGAUUAAAUGAAAUAAGUUUUAUAAAUCAUUUUGAAAUUAAAUGAUGAUUUUAGAAAUUGAGUAAUUGGAGACUGUUUGAUUGUGUUGUAAUUUAUGGUUUGAAUUGAAUGGCUUAUGGUGAUAUUGGCAUGCUUAUGGUGAUAUUGGCAUGAAUGGCUGAAUUGGAAAUUGUUUUGAAAUUGUAUGAAUUGUUUGUUUUGCCUUAACAGGCUGGGUAGUAAUAUAAUUGCAAUGUCAUGCUGUCGAAACUUUUAUUGAUUUGGUGGGAUAUUGAUUAGUCACUGCAGUGGUGGGUUUCAGUGGACCAGCCUAUUAGAAAGGGGCACGGUAAACCCGGUUAUAUUUUACCUCGGUACAAGAGGAGCGGAGGGUAUCUCCUGAGGUAAAGCUUUAGAGUUCACUACAAGCUGAACCACCACGUGAGGGUGAACUUGGCCAACGCCAAGGAACGGCUAUGUUUUAAAACGUACAAAUAUGAUUUAUGGAUAUACGACUUUUCUUUAACAGCCUUGACGGACUCGGUUGGAUGCCCCAGCCAAGGUAUCCCCGAGAAUGAGUUUUGGCGUGAGCCAAAUUUUUAAGAAAUUCAUAAGCCAUGUUGAUUAUUUGAGUGAAAUGAAUUUAUUUUGUUUAGUUGAAAUGAGUUUGAAACGUUAUGAAUCAUAGUACGAUGAACUAUUUUAAGUUGUCUCCAUUUUCUUGACUUUAGAUAUUUUACAUGAUGUUUGUUUACUCACUGAGUUUAUAUAAACUCACCACCCUCCUUGCCACUCAUUUCAGGCUCAGGUUAAUCUGUAGAUAGCUGAUUUCGUCAAGGGCUACAGUUGGAUUUGCAUCCUCAAAAAUCGUAGGUUCGCAGCCUUCGUUACUUUUGGUCCAUUCGGGGGGGGGGGGGGGGCACAUGUCAUUGUAAAUAAAAUUACACACUCUGGCUCACUGUAUUACUGUAUGUACGAAUUUAUUUUGCUUUUACGUUAUAAAAAUUAUUUAC